rnacentral:rRNA from 1 species
CUGCUGCCUUCCGUAGGAGUCUGGGCCGUGUCUCAGUCCCAGUGUGGGGGGCCUUCCUCUCAGAACCCCUACGCAUCGUCGCCACGGUGGGCCGUCACCCCGCCGUCUAGCUAAUGCGCCGCAUGCCCAUCCGCCACCGGAUCGCUCCUUUGGCCACCGGAGGAUGCCCUCCGGUGGCGUCACGGGGUAUUAGGCCGCGUUUCCGCGGGUUAUCCCCCUGUGGCGGCCAGGUUGCAUACGUGUUGCUCACCCGUGCGCCGGUCGCCGGG